rnacentral:misc_RNA from 1 species
GAUGAAGAACGUAGCGAAAUGCGAUAAGUAAUGCGAAUUGCAGAAUUUCCGUGAGUCAUCGAAUCUUUGAACGCACAUUGCGCCCACUGGUAUUCCGGUGGGCAUGCCUGUUCGAGCGUCAUUAUCCUCCCUCAAACCUCGGGUAUGGUGUUGGACCCAAGUUGUGUGAACAACUGGUCUUAAAGACAAUGACGGCGUCCGUGGGACCCUCGGUGCAACGAGCUUUUAGGAGCACGCGUCGUGUUUCAAGGACCUUCCGGGCCGGUCUCCUUUACCAUUUUACAAGGUUGACCUCGGAUCAGGUAGGAAUACCCGCUGAACUUAAGCAUACAAUAGCGGAGGA